AGAGAACAUUUCCUUUCAGAAAAGGUGCUACACUUAAUAAUCAGACUAUUAUGGUGGAAAAAGUAUUCACAUAUAAAAAAAAAAAUAAACAUCAUUAUAAAACCAUUACAUUCGUCGUUCCACUCAAAAUCUAAAAGUAAACAUCUUUGUAAAACAAUAAGCUUCUUCGCUCCACUCAGAAUCUAAAAUAACCAUAAAUACAGAAACCAGAAUUAACUAGGUAUCUUUUCCCUUAACUUUUUCUACUUGCCGAAGAAAACAUUUCGUUUAGAUUUUCAAAAUUGUAUAACCUUGUUUAGGUUCUGAAUGUAGAG